AUGUCUCAGUGCAGAAGGAAUUUAGCAAGAGGCAAAGUGAUAGGUAAGAAGCAGAUUUGUUGAGAGAUAAGACAAAGUGUGGUCAGUCUCAAAAGGCAAGAUAGUGGCCCUGGGAGAAACACACACCACAGACAGAGGUGGGCCAUUUCAGAAGGCUUACAGGGAUGAAAAUCUGUUAGAUGACAUGCAACCUGCCCUUUCAAUACUCCUCAAGGACUCUGGGGAUUUCCAGCCAUCUGGAAUUUGCUGUCAUGCUGUGAUUUCUGCAGAGUUUAUACAUCAUUGCCAUGUUUUGGGGAAAGAAAGAGUUCUUGAAAUGAGAAGAUACUCGAUCAUCUUCACUUCCGGGCUAAUCAUUCUUCCACUAAACCUUCUUCAGUUGUGAGAUACAACACUAGAGUGUUAUAUUCCUGGGACAUUCUCCUUUCAAGAGAAAGGCAUACAUCUGCAUUUUUUUGUGGUUGUUUUUAGGGCUGCACCCAUAGCAUACAGAAGUUCCCAGGCUAGGAGACGAAUGGGAGCUGUAAACACUGGCCUACACCACGGCCACAGCAAUGAAGGAUCCGAGCUGCAUCUGUGACCUACACAACAGCUCACAGCAAUGCCAGAUCCUCAACCCACAGAGUGAGGCCAGGAGUUGAACCCUCAUCCUCAUGGAUCCUAGUUGGUUUCAUUAACCAUUGAGUCAUGAAGGGAACUCCCAACGUCUGCAUUUUUAAUGUGACUCAAUGGUUAGGUUGGGUUUUUUCUUCUGUGUGUCUCCAGGGUUAGAUGGAAGGGCUUCCCUCCUUCCUCUAACUUUGCUUUUGCUAUGAGGCUCAGACAUUUAUUUUCUGACAUCUUCUCUAGAUUGUUUUUCUUUUGCGUUCACUCUGAGUAAGAAAUAUGAGUUCAGUCACUGCUAAGUGAGGAAAACAUAGCUGCUGUUCAAAAUUAAUCUUGUCUUCAUUUUACUUCCCUGGGUUGUACAAUAGCACUCAGGAGGUGUUUCUAAUGAGGCUAACGAGAAAUCCAAGCAACUGUUCAAUCUAUCAUGGCCCUGCCAAAUAUUUCGAUAUAUCUUAUACUCCAUAUUCAAUGUAUAUCACUUUCCUUAAAAUUCUGUUUUUAAAAUUUAUACUGUGUGCUCCCUGGGGACCCAGGCAAUACCUGCAACUCUAACCACAGUAAUGGUGUUGUGUGAAACAUAACAAAAAGUGAAAGUACUUGAAUACUUUUCUUUGAUAUCCCUAUUUUUGGCUACUUAAAUAUUUGUCCGUCUUUUACGAAACCACUUUGCAAAUUUGUUUUCUGUUCAAGGGCUUGUUCCCCAAUCACCCUCAUUACAGACUCUGUGCAUUAACAAUAUGACUGCAAACACCUUAUUGGAUCUGUGAUCCCCCUGGACAAAUCACUUCAUCCUCUCUUUAUUUUUCUUUAGGAAAUGAUUACUGUCCUAGCUCCAGUAAUAUCUAAAACAUUCUUUCUUUUGAAAUUUUCUCUUCAAAAGAAACUAGGCUCAGGCUGAUUUCUUUGUCUCUUCCUAUAGUUUUAUAAGCUCGCUAACAUCUCCUAAGGAGUUUGCUCUCUUCUUCCAGUUUAACAAGCUUGUUUUCUUUUAUAAUUCUUUUAUACUGUUUCACACUUCUCCCAUUUUGCACAUAAAAUGAAAGAAGCAUGUCUUGAAAGCAAAUUCAAUUAUUCUUUGAUUUCGUAAUGAAAAUCUGCUUUGUGGAAAGGAGGUCUACCAGGCACAUAUGUUUCAAAUUCUCUUAUAGCUUUGGUUUGUAAUAACUGCAAGACUUUUUCUUAUUUCUUUACUGUAUUCAAGAAGAUGGCAUGUUCUCUUCAUAAUUAGGACUCCUCUUCUUUUCUCAUGUUUUCAUUUUUUAAACUCUACCAUUGUAAGUGGUAGUCACUUCUAUGUCUCUGAAAUCUAAACUCAAGGGUAAAGUUUAACUGAUUAAUACACUGAGAGCCAACUGAGCUCCAUGUGAUAGACAGCAAAUAUUUAGUCAUGGACCAGCUACGUGAAUCGCACACUUCAGCCCACAGAGUUUAAUUUCCUUACUUGGCUGUGAAUGGAAUAAAAACAGAAAAAAAAAAGUUAAAUUUAGACAAUGAACCUAAUGCCUCUUAUUAAUCAUAGCACCUUUUAUUUAGAGGCAUGGGCAUUACUAACUCUUAGCACUUUCUAUUUCAAGGCAUAAAUCCAUGCAGAAUUCAGGGUGUCUAGAGUCCUGGCCUUCUACCUGGCUGAAGAAUGCAAUAAAAACAGCAAAAAUGAUUCUCCUUACCAACAUAUAAAAAGCCUGAGGCCAAAAAAAUAGAAAUUAACUAGAGUUUGGGAAAGCUAAAUAUAGGAGUGUGUUAGCAUCAGAGAAAUGGCAUGAGCUAAGUGGCUGAGUGUGAAGAAGCUUAAUUUGUCCAACAACACGGUGUAACUGCACUGUGGGCUCCAUGUGAGGGAGUCAGGGAGGGAAAGGAUAGAAGACAGCAGAGAAAACAUCCCAAGGGUUUAUAAAUCACAUUAAAGAAUCUGUUCUUUGCUCCAAUACUAAUGGAUUGGCUACUGAAUUAUUUUAAACAAGGAAGGUACAUAAACUGCUCAUUUUAGAAAGAUCACUCAUGCUGCAUCAUGAGAAUUCAAUACAUGAAAAUUUCAUGAAGGAAAUAUCAGAGUCACCCAAGCAGGAGAUGCCUGUGGUCAGUUCUCUAGAACAUACAGUCAAGAUGGAAAAUAAGUGAAUGUAUUGGGGAGAUGUUAAGUAAAUAUCAUCUGAGAAAGGAUUGAGAAAGUGCUGGCCAAUCACAGCACUCAAUCACACCGUAAUCUAAUUCUUUCACAUCCUGUGUCCCUCACUAAAUUGAGUGCUAUAUGAUAGUAAAGGAGCAGGGAGCAAAGAACAAUUUUGCUUGACUAAAAUUUUAAA
rnacentral:lncRNA from 1 species